UACGUAGGGUGCGAGCGUUAAUCGGAAUUACUGGGCGUAAAGCGUGCGCAGGCGGUUUUGUAAGCCAGAUGUGAAAGCCCCGGGCUUAACCUGGGAAUGGCAUUUGGGACUGCAAGGCUUGAGUGCGGCAGAGGAGACUGGAAUUCCCGGUGUAGCAGUGAAAUGCGUAGAUAUCGGGAGGAAUACCGAUGGCGAAGGCAGGUCUCUGGGCUGACACUGACGCUCAUGCACGAAAGCGUGGGGAGCAAUCAGG
rnacentral:rRNA from 1 species